UUUUUACUAAUUAUUUUAUUUUCCUAUUGUUUAUUAUUUUAUUGUUUUAUUUUCCAACAUCGAUCGUUCUCAUUAAUCUAGCAUAGAUACAUAAUAGUUGAAGGAUUAAAAUAAUAACACAUAUAUAUAACUUCUAGUACUACACACUCUUGAUCUAGACUAAGAACAUCAUCAGUGUAAUGAUUCCCAUGAGAAAAAAAGCUGGCACCGAUCUAGCAGGGAGAACGAGGCCAAGCAUAACACCACCUAAAAGGGAAUACUGAAGCAUCUUGAAUUUUUGGAUUUGGCCGCGCAUCACAUUAGUCUUCAGCUGCAUCUCAUCUAACUGUUGCCUUAGUUCACCAAUGGAGUACUAGAACAACUCGCUCACGUACUUCUGCACGAGAUCAACCCAUAUCCAUGUGUAGCAAUAUUUUGUCCCUAACACCUAUGGAUCACAAUAUACACACACAUAUAUUAAUGAUUGCGAAUUGUGCAAAUUAGCAGAAUAUCGAGGUAUUUUCUGUCAUAUUACGUACCUUUCCACGAUUACCGCAGUUGUAGAACUCUUGCUCUGUAUUACUUUGUGUGUGCGACAUAUGCUUAUCAGCAGGUCGUCCACAACCGCUAAAAAGCAACACAGGUGCCCUCGCUCGAUUCCUGGCAGCUUCGGCGCCGGUGGCAUAGCUGCCGAAUCGUCGAAGGGACGUCCCGCUGCAGCGGGAUAGUUCGCCAGACAGGG
rnacentral:lncRNA from 1 species